rnacentral:rRNA from 1 species
AUCGAUAAUCCCCGUUACNUUUCACUUUAGUUAAAAGUUUAUAUAUCGCCAUCUAAAGAAUUUAUUCAAAAAUAUUUNUCUAAAAAACACAUAAAAAGUUAGGUCAAGGUGUAAUCAACACUAAAGAAUNAGAUAAAUUACAUUAAAUAACAUUCAAANNNUAUAUNCUAAANCAUACACAAUAANNAUUUAAAAGCAACAUUAAAAUAAUAACUUAAUGUGAUUAAGAUAAUAAAUGUGCACACAUCGCCC